UAGAGGGCAAAUGGAGAUAAAGAGUUAAAAAUACUGACAGUGUAUUUUAUCCAUGCUUCCAUGGGCAGGUGAGAUGAUUAGCAGUUCUUUAUUAAAGCAUGACUCUGACUCUUCAUUCAGUACUCAGGUGGAGGUUUUAGGAUGUUAGCUUCUUCUUUCUAACUCAAAACCUCAGGGAAAGAUAAAAUCCUUCACCUAUUGAAUAGUUAGCAAGCAACCAAGACUAAGAGAAAGAGUGCCUGAAGUAUGAUCUUGGAAAGUUGAGGGUCUUGUGGCUAAAGCAUCUACGGCUGGUAUUGCUGUAUUAGUCACAGUAAUAUGACUAAACAGAUCAUGUAAUGGAGAAUAUAUUCCAAAGAAUCCAGGUGUGAUGGCUGUUUUUAUAAGUCAACUUGACUGCGUCAAGGGGUACCCAGGUUAAGCAUUAUUUCUGGCUGUGGCUGUGAGGGUGUUUCUGGAAAACAUUAGCAUUUAAAUUGAUGGACUCAGCAGUUUUCCCUCCCAGUGUGAGUGGACAUCAUUGAGAGCCUGAGUAGAACAAAAAGGCAGAGGAAGAAGGAAUUUACCCCUUUUUGCUUCCUGCCUGCUUAUUUGAGCUGAGAUAUUAGUCUUCACCUACCCUCAACUGGGAUUUACACCAUCAACUUUCCUGGUUCUCAGGCCUUUGGACUUAGACUGGAAUCAUACCACCAGCUUUUCCGGGUCUCCAGUUUGUUAAUGGCUGAUCUUAGGACUUCUCAGCCUCCAUAAUCAUAUGCACCAAUUCUUCAUAAUAAAUCUCUUCCUCUCUACAUAAAUCCUAUUGGUUCUGUUUCUCUGGAGAACCCUGAUUAAUACAUUGGGUAACCAUGGCACUCUUCUUAAAGACAAUGGUUUACCUGAAGUCUAUUUUCGGGGGUAGGUGGCCAAAGGAACAGUACCUGCAAAACCUGAAUGGGAAGGUGCCCUAGGAUGAAAGGCGAAGCUUCCCAAUGUACCCAGGCCCCUCCUUCUCCUUUUUCAGCACUUGCAAUUUCUCUCCAGAGCAAUAAAAGUCUCAUUUGGUAAGACAGGGGAUCUCCUAUCACUCCUCUUUGCCAUCUACAGCUGUUGCAUUCAUCCAGGACAUGUCCUCUCAUUAUGUCAAGAUAGCUGCUGCUAGCCCUCACAUUCUCACACAAGUAAGUCACAAACAAGUUUCUUUGCACCUAUCUCUUUUUAUCAGGAAGGAAAACCUUUUACAAAUGCCCCAGUGGACUUCCUCUUUGGGCCUCAUAUGUCAGGAUUGCAGCACAUGGCCAUGACUAAGUCAAGACCUGUCAAAAGGAAUAGACCUGUCAAAACUCCUUUUUUGGCUUGGAGUGGUAGUCAUUCCUUGGGCCUAGAUUGGAACAUCUUAAGCACAUAGGAAGAUUAACAUGAACAAAGUCAGGGAUUUUCCACAUAGAGAAGGAAACAGGUUUGGGGGGGUUCAUUAUGCAACCAAGACUCUCUACUCUAACUCACAUUUGUAUCACAAACUCCAGUGGACUGCCAUAUACUUAGAAGGUCCUUCAAAAUAGUUGUGGCAAGAAAAUCCCAUUCUUUCUUGUACUUCCAACUGCUUUCUUCCUAUCUGCACUUGGAUUGCUAUUAAGCCUUCAGAAGCCAGGAGAGAGACAAGGCACAGGUUCUUUUUUAUAGCCCUCAGAAGGAUUCAAUUUUAUGUAGACCUGGAUCUCAGACUUCCAGCUUCCAGAAUGAUGAGACAAUAAAUUUCUGUUGUUUAGGCCACCCAGUUUGUGGUACACUGUUACAGGAGCCCUAGAAAACUAGUAUGCUUCUCAUUGCUUACUAGGUAAAAUCCCAUCCCUGUCGUUUAUCAUGAUGUACAAGUCAUCCAAGAUCCAAUUCUGGCCUGUUUUCUAGCAUCUUCUACCAUUCUGUCCUCUAGAGACAGCUGACAUAGGAUCUAGAUCCUUCUCAGGGUUCUCAAAACAUGACUGGGUUUUGAACAUAUUCUUUCAUUUUCUUGUCACAUCAUAUUCUUUCUUUGAGAGUCAGUUUAACUGUCAUUUUUUUUGGAGAGGCCUUUUCAACUCUGUCUCCCCAGAGGGUGUUUCCUCUCCUGUUCUCCCUGGCAUCUUGGGCAAGCCUCCAUUGAUAUACUUAUUCCAAUGGGUUACUUUUGUCUUUGUUUCAUGACUGUGUGUCUGUCUAAACUGAGAAAACAUUCUAAGUGGAAAUUGCAUCCUACUCACUUCUUUCCCCUCAGGUCAAGCCCAAGGAAGUGGCUUAUGAGACCCAACAAUCCUUGCUGGGAUUUACUAAGUAGCUGAAGAGUUCAGUGUGGUGCAGUGGAAAGUGGGCUGGACUAGAGGUCUGUGAGAAUGUGGUUUCAUGUUUACUCUGCUGCUAACUAGCUGGAUGACCUUAGGCAAGUUUCUUGACCAUUCAGGGCCUCUUCAUUCCUUUCUGCAAAGGCUGUUGGUCAGAUGACCUCUAAAGAUCCCUAAACAGUGCCCCAUGGGAAUCUUCCCCAAGAUUAUCCUUUUCUUUUUUUAUCAUCACCACUAUGGGUCUAGUUACCAUCAAUACUAGGAUAUUCUCUGUGGGAUUCUCAAAGGAAGCUAAACUGAAGUAAAUAUUGAAUGAAUGACUUUGAGACUGACUUAAGUCAAAAGGCAAUGUUUCCUAACCAAAGAGUCUGCUCAAGUCCCCACUUGUCCUUGUGAAGGUAGCCACAUCUUUUGCAUCCUGGAAAGGCUGACUUCAGCCCAAAGCUACAAGAUCACAAUGACUGGGAGCAUAGUUAAAGUUUUUAAAUGAAUGGCCAUUAAGCAGAUGACUAUGUAGGACCACCCCUUCUUUUGCUGGCAAGGAUUUUAGGGGCACUUAGGAGGAGGCUGCAGGAAGAAACGGAGGCCUGCAAGGAGAUACCUGCAAAACCUGAAUAGGAAAGUGCCCUAGGAUAGAAGGUGGAGCUUCCCAAGGUACCCAGGCCUCUCCUUCUCCUUUCUCAGCACUUGCAAAUUCUCCCCAGAGCAAUGAAAGGCUCAUCUGGUGAGAAAGGGGAUCUCCCCAUUGUGGAGUCACCUGAGCUCUGGGUCUUCAGUGGAGGGACAGGUUUGGACUGUUGAAUAUUUAUACUUGGGGAGAGUAAAGAAUGAUCUCAAGGUCACUCAACAACAAGACGCAGAGUCAAUACCUCAUACUAGAUUUUCUGACUCCACAUCUAGUGCUCUUCUACAUUAGCCGUAUCUUGGAGUUGUUGAAUGCUUUAUCUCAACACCCAGUCAAAAACAUGGUAGAUGCUAUAACUCCCAUUGAUCAGACAAGAAAAUUGAGACUCAGAGAGAGAAGUGAUUUAUCCAAGAUUAAAUGCUGGAAACAUUUAUUGGCCAUUGUGAACUGGGUGUGGUAGUCAGUCCUGCCCCAUCAUACAACGAUAAUUGGGGGAAAAUACUGACUUCCAAUCUCAUUAAUCAUUUGGGCCAAAGCCAUUGCCUCUCAUGUUUAUUUUUAUUGCAUCUAUAAAUCAAUUGGGAACCAUAAAAACCCAGAAGCCUGAAUGUCAGGAAGGAAAGGAGACUCGGUCACAACUUAUUGGUUGAGCACAAGUCUUAGCUCACAGGUGUGAAGAAAAAGCAGUGGCUUUCAGGCAAAUCCAGCACCUGUGGGGCAGGUGCCAUUAUUAUCCCAUGUUGCAGACGAGGAAAGAGGACCCAGAGAAGUAAUGUGACUAGGGCCACACAGCUUCGAAGUGGAUCACGAUGGUUAGAGUUUUGAGGCUGCCGCUUCGCCAUGGGACUUACCUGUCAGCCAGAUGUGGGAAGCAAGACAGAGGUUCAGCAACAUGCUCAAAGUCUCACAACUGGAAAAUAAUGGAUCCAAGAUGUCAAAUCCAGUCCGGACUGCCCAGCUCUUAUCCGCUAUCUUCUACCACAGCCUGCAGAUACCAUAGGCUUCAGUUAUCAGGAACCUUCUUUGAAUGCUGAGCUGACCUGUGGCUGCUUGGACUGAUGGAGCAUGGGGAAAUGAUGCUUGGAAAGUGACAUUUGACUUCUGCCUAGCAUUUGAGAGGGCAAGAAGCAUCUGCCUUAGUCUUUUGGAUCCUUGAAUGCACCCUAUGAGAUUGACCACAUGGAGAGAUCUGGCAACUGCAUGGAGAGAGCGAAGCAUUCAGCUAAAUUCAGUCUUCAAGCCAACCUGAGGAAGAUCCACGCAUGUCCUUGGUAUUUCUAUGGGAGUAUGUGUGCAUUGCUGCAAUUCUGCUAAGGGGGAUAAAAACACCCAUGAUCUCUUCUUAAACCUCUUCAUGCCUAAUGAUCCAAAUGGAGAUUUCCAGUCUUUGUGGCCGAGUAGUGUUAUUCAACUAAACAGAAAAAUAAAGAGUAGCCCGAAGGCAUAUAAGAAGCUCCGAGAGCCCACACUGACGGAGAUCACCAUUUGGCCAACCUCAUGGGAAAGUAAACCACUUUUAUGUUCUUUCA